UCCACUCUGCCAGUGCAGAGCCCAAUGUGGGGCUCGAACCCAUGUACUGUGAGAUCAUGACCUGAACUGAAACCAAGAGUUGGGCGUUUAACCGACUGAGCCACCCAGGUGCCCCUACAUGACGUGUUUUGAGAGGGGGAGAUUACCCUGGAUUAGCCAGGUGGGCCCAAAAUGUAAUCAUAAGUGUCCCUAUAAAGAGGGAGUCCAAGGGAAAUUUGUCUGCAGACAAGAGAGAAGGCCAUGUGAUGACAUCACCAGAGAGAGAGAGAGGUUUGGAGAUGCCACACUGCUGUCUUUAAGGAAGAAAGACCCCCAAGUUAAAGAGGGAGAUUCUCCCCAGAGCCUCUGGAGGAAGUGCCGCCCCGCUGAGGCUUUGAUUUUAGCUAGUGAAAGUGAUUUCAGACUUGGGACCUCUAGAACUGUAACAGAACAAAUGCGUGUUGUCUUGAGCUGCCAGUGUGUGAAAACUUAUAGCAGCAAUAGGAAACCAGUAAAAUCCAGUGACUCCAGGAAGAAACACAAAGCCCAUUUGCGUCCUAAGAAUUUGAUCCUGGAAGACCCAGGAGGCCCCGAAUGGUGGCAGGAAGCUGUAUGCUUGGGCCAAGGCAAAGAAACUGGCUGUUGCCCAAAGUGGAGCCCAAGCCCCGGGCGUGCUGGGUGCACCUGCCGCCCCCUCGGCCAGCUAGUGGCGUUCUAGCCAGCAGUCCCUUGGGUGCCCUUCUGUGUCUCUGGACUUGGGCAGAGCCUCCAUCCGUCCCUCAACCCAGGCUGCAGCAAGCUGGUCUCUUCCUGGAUCUGACCCAGACUCCUGAGGCUGUAGCAGUCAACCCUGUCCUGCCCCCUGGAGGCUGAGGCCAGCACUGCUCAGAGCUCCAGUUAUCUCCCCACUCCCCCAACCCAAGGGUGAAGGGGUAAGUAUGCAAGUCUGUGGGGCGGAUAAGCCUGGGUUUCUUCAGAGCCUCGCCCCCUCCAGCCUCUGACCUUGCAAGGGGAGAAGAGACCAGGGAGGGGGUUCAAACAUGUGAUGUAGACACAGAGGGGUGGACAGAGGCUGGUCAGGCCCCAGACACAGGCCCGGCCAAAUGAGGGGUGUAAGGCUGGAACCCUUGAGUCUUCUAGAAUCUGGAUUCCUGGCAGCAUAUUCAUUUUCAUCCUUGCCUCCCCUGGCCUUGCCCCAGGUUCUCCAGAGGUCCUCAUGGUAGAGGGAUGUGGGUGAGGGGCAGCACUCAGAAUGUGGUUGGCAUGGACACUGCCACCCAGCAGUGGGCCCAUAGGGGGCUGGCAGAGGGAAAGGGACCACCUCUGGUGACACUCUGUGUCUGGCAUGGUAUCCAGCUGGGCAACCUUCUGCCUCACCCACUGUGCACCCCUCUAUUGCAAUCUUCCAGCAUCCACGGGGUCCUGAUAAGGUAGGGGUGACAGCACCUCAGCCCUCCAACCCUCUCCAUCUCCCUGGGCCUGGGCCUCUGCCAUUGGACCUGCUUCAGGUGGCUGGACAUGAGUGUGAGAUGUGCCCCCUCAGUGUCCUGGGAGGCAGGGGCAAGUGAGGGCAGCUGCUGGUCUGGGGCCGGGCCUGGGGUUGGAGCCAGGAGUGUUUAGUCAGAGCUGGACUCUGCUUCUGUGGCCUUCAUCCCUUCCAGGGGACCACAGUUCCUGGGAGGGAUGCUAAUAGGAGCCUGCCUUUUGCUCUUUAUCCCCCUCAAAGGGCCCAGAAGUCAAGGAGCACAGACUUGGGACUGGGGGGCAUGUGUUUAUUAGCAACAAGGAGGGGUUCUGUGAAUAGGGCAGCCUGGGAAGCAGCUGGUGAGCUGUGCAGUGAGAAGGGUCCCCUGGGUCUCUCACUGGUCCAGGCUGGUGGGGACAGCUGGGCGGUGCCCUGGGCAGAGAUUGGCGAGAGGGGGAUGGGGUGGAGAGAGCCCGAGGGCACCUGAGAGGGCGUCAAGGGAAUAGAGAGGGCAGCAGUGCUGGGCAGGUGGGACAAAGGCAGACCUGGAAGCCCCUCCCAGCUGCACCCUGGCUCCCAUCAGCCCCCUCUGUAGCCAUACUUACCGCACACUUGCUCACUUAUAAAUGCACUCAUCUGUGGGGGACAGAGUGGUCAGCAUGGGCAGGGGUGUGUGUGGGAUCCCUGACCUCCAGGGCCCCUGCACUGCCCCUGGGCUACCCUGGGCCUCAGCCUGGUCCAGCCACAGAAGCUCCGGGGCUCCUUUCAUAGAUGGUACAGAAGAGGGUUGGAAGAUGGGGCAGGGGACUGGAGGAGAGGCCUGAGGACAAGCAGACCUGGGUGACACCCGUUCUCCAAAGGAGGCAGGUGAGGCCCAGCCACACUCCUGUUUGGGCACCAAGCCUUCUGCCUGUUUACCUGCUGAGUCCUGACAGACCCUCAGGCUUUGGGAGGCACCUGCCCAGGCCAGGCUGCCUGAAGACAAGGGUGCCUCCCAAGUCAGUAGUGAGCCAGUCCCAGGGCAAAGGGGGAGGUGGCCAGGCAAGGAGAACUGAGGAAGCUUCGCCCCAUGCCUGCAAUUCUCAUGUGGGCAGGCCCGAGCUAGGGUGAGGGAGGAGCACUAGGGGCCCAGAACCCUGAUUGUGGCAGGGUCUUCCUGAACCUGAAGUGGCUUCUGGGCCUCCAGUGACCACAGCAGGGCUCUGUCUCCCUCCUCUCCCCCGUUCCUUAGUGAAGCAACAUCAGGCCUGGACAGUCCCCAUGUGCCCUUCUCCUCCCCCCAGCUGGUGAUUACCGUUGGGGAUUGGGAAGAUGAUGUGGUCAUCGGUGAGGCCCAGGGAUUUGGCAAAGCUAAUGAAGUUUUCCUUCAGCUCCUGGGUCAGCUCCUUGGUCCUCCCUGUGGCCAAGAUGGCUGCCACACCUGCUCUUCACCAGUACCUGAGGCUCCUGCCAGGGUGGCCACCCCCCCACCCUCCAGACUGCUCAUCAGCUCCUGCUCAGGGCGGCCAUGAGAUGGCUUGCUAUUUCUUGAAGAAGUGGCUCUCUCUGACUCAGUCCAGCAGCCCUGCCAUAAAGGUCCCAGGUCUCCUGACGCAAGUUGGUUUCUCAAGGCCCAGCCCACAGACCACCUCCCUGGAAGCCCUGGACAGAGCUCAAGGUCCUGUCCCCGCGAUUUAAUGAAAUCACUUAUUCUGCAUCAAAGAUGUCUUCAAGAAUUCUUUCUUGGCUGUCAGCUCUAUAAUAUGCGCCCCCCGCCCAGCCUCAUCAUUUGGCGCCUAUAUGGGGUUGUGAGUCUUUUCAUCUGGACUCUGAGCUUCAGUGCAAAUGUGGAGGAGGAUGGGACCUUCUUCUCAGUCCCCAAGGACUCUCCCUUGGGAUGCCUCUUCAACCUGCUAGAAACAAUUUGGAUUGCAAACUUUAGGAAAGAGGAAUUCAACGAGCAAACUAAUCUGCCUUCUGAUUCCUGUGAACCUGUGGAAGACCUCCAACUUCUCUUAGAAUGGUUGUACCUUUCUUUUUCAUCCUCUUUCCCCAAUUUCUACUAACAGUUCCUUCUUACAAUGGGCCAUUCAAAAGGAUCACCACAGACAUUUGAGAUAUAAGCCAGAAAGACCAAUCUGAUUCCUGCUGCCUGCUCCCACAAACAUCUGAGGAUACUUCAAGCCUAACAUCUAACAAUUCUCACUGGCAGCACUGGGAGAUAGUGGGUUUGUAAUCUGCUCUAAGCAUUAACCUGUAUUUUUCUUGUUUCUAUAAAAGUACCUCCUAUAAAUGACGCGCUGGCUUACUAAACAAAACAGAGUCAAUAUAAUGAGUAUACACCACCUGUACACAGUUGAGGCCUUAAAUGACUCUCAAAAUAACAUUAUAUUACUAAAUAUUAAAUAAGUCAAAUACAGAAAUCAGUUCUACAAAACAGAAUAGCAUUAGAUGUUUUAAGUGCUGCACAAGGUGGAACUUAAACUCUCAUAACAACAAAACGGCAUGUAUACAUUCGGACUACUUAAAAAUAUUUCUGGAUUUCCAACUGACAUGAAUACUCAAAUUGGUGGAUUAAACGAUCCCUUUCUUACCUUAGCAAUUGGUUAAGCUCUUGGUCUGGAGGAUUUUUGUUAGCUACCAAAGGACCUUUCAUUUGAGCUAAUCUGUCUAGUUAUUCUACUUAUGUUUUGCUGUUUUUCCCCAGGUCUCUCUGCCUAGUGCCAAGAUUCCAGCACUACAAUAGCUUCAAGCCAAGAGAUGAUCCUUUCUACUCAAGGAUGUUCAUACACGUUGUCCACCUUGGGUUCAGCUGCCUCACCUUAGCUGCCCUAUAUGUUUCCUGAUGGACCAAUAUUGACCCAUAGGUAGGGACAGCUCUAUGCCCCUACUCAGCAGGAUGAAGCUAUAAAAGAUGAGACCUUCUUCCUACAACAACCUUAAAGACUUAAGGGUCAAAGUUGUUCAGGGGGGACAUGAUGAGUUAGGGUGGGGCAAGCUGAGGGCAAAACAGGCUGGCACAUCCUCCCCUCCCUCCAGGUAGAAUAUGUGUAUUAUUCAAACAUUACUGGCUACACAAGAACAAAGGAAAGGCAUCUAAGUGCUUGCCAUGGUGAUGUGGGAAACUAAGGCAAAAAAAAAAAAAUUAAAUCCCUUUACUGCCAUCACCCCAUUGACAAGUUCUUGAAACCAGCAGAGUGAACUCCCUCUUCAAUCUCUGCUGCUUCAAUGUUGACAUUUUGCUAGGGGCAAAGAGAACUUUAGCUCAACAUUAUCCUAACCUUGAGGAUACUGUAAGUCUACUUCCUUUCUCACAAUUGCCCCAAGAUAUAUGCUGGCAAUCAUACUCCAAGCUUAUAGCCCCCAAUAUGCAUCUGAAGGGUCUCACCACUGAGGUUUUAUUCAAUGGUAAUAAGUGGUGUUUCCUUAGCAACAGUGAGCCCCUCAAGGUCCUGAAAAUCUUGCUUCCAAAAUAACUUAGAGACUUUAUCCCUGACCCCCUCCCAACCUGAGGGUAUGUAAUCAGUUACCCAUCACAACCCCAGUGCAGCUCUUCCUGCCCCUGGGUCCUGUCCCCGUGCUUUAAUAAAAUCACCUCUUUGCAUCAAAAACUUCUUCCAGAAAUUUUUCUUGGCCAUUGGCUUUGGACCACCACACCAAUCUCCAAAACUUCAUCAGUAUACAUUCUACAUUAUCACACAAAAUUUCUGGAUUUCUAACUGACCUGAACACUCAAAUUAGUGCUUUAAGCAAUCCUUCUUUUCCUUUCAUGAUUGGUUCAACUUGUGAACUUGAAGAUUUUCAUCAAUUACCAAAGGACUUUUAUUUGGGCUGUUCUUUCUUGUUAUUCUAAUUACAUUUGGCUGUUUUCUCCCAUGUCUUUCUGCCUCGUGACAAGACUCUAUCACUACAAUAACUUCAAACCAACAGAUGAUCCUUUCUUCUUUUUUUAAUUUUUAAAUG